rnacentral:misc_RNA from 1 species
AAUAUAACACAGGAGAAAGUAAAAUGUAGCAAAAUUCACUGUGGUCUAAAUGUCUUGGAAAUACACCUGACAUCCAAAAGUAUGGUUGUCGCAUAACUUAAAGAUAAGAUUGAAUCUAAACUUUCUCACACUGUACUGUACCUUUGGGAUGGAAUACAAAUUUCUAGGGAGCAUCAAAAAGCAAUAUACAUUGAGCAAUCAUCUUGCUUAACUUGGUCAUUUGGCCAAAAAACAGUUUCCUGUUCAUGGCAAUGCCAUCUCACCUAAAGCCACACAUGAUUCUGAGUUAUCCAAUUGCAUACUUCUAACAGUUAUAUACUUCAAGACACUCGCCUUUUACCGUUUAGACAUCCUUGUAAAUAUGGAGACUAAUGAUGGGAGGCAGCUCUAGCUUGAAGCACGUACAGAUUCACAAAUAAUAAGGUUAUGGACAGUGACAACAGGACCCUGCGCAUAUAAGAUUAUCCCUGAAUUCAGGAUUUGCUGGUCCACCACUUCAUAAAAAUUACCAGUCGGGCUGAUAAUUACUAGAAGAAAUCAAAUUCGAGGUAGUUAUCAGAACCCUUUUGGCUGGGAGCUACUGCUGCUGGAACAGUCUUUUGAUUGGUAGAUGGUGCUGGGACUGGUAGUCUCUCAAAUUCAACCGGUUUAGGCACCUCGGGAGGGCUAGCACAGCGUAUUAGUGCCCAAUUAACCCCUUCAAAGAAAGGGUGUUGUUUUAUCUCAGUUGCCCCUCUUUUGUAUGCCAAUCUGUUCUGUGGUUCUUUUAUGAGUAAACCUCUAAUAAGAUCCCUUGCUGCAAAACUAACAACUGGUGAUUCUGGAAAUCUAAGAGGUUGCCCGACUACAUUGAAUAAUGUAGCUCGGUUACCAGAUCCUUUAAAUGGAGUUUUACCAAACAAGAGCUCGUAGAGAAAGAU